GCUCCCAUAGCUUAACUCAAA
rnacentral:tRNA from 11 species